UUGUAGGGAAAAUCCUAAUACUGUGGUUUCAGUCGCAACAUUUACAACCGUGGCAAUAGUUACACCUGCGAUCUCUUGAAUGGACGUAGACAAGAAUGUAAACAACGAAGUGCACUCCCAAGGUACCCACAUGUUAUAAGGAAUGGCACAAAGCUGUCACAGCGUAAAGACUGCCUCAAAUAUGGGAUAAGUUCUUAAUAUGAGAUAACGAGGUUUCUGCUUCAUUAAUAAACGCAUGUGGUUGGUACCAUCAUAAACUUAUUACUCUUGAGAAUUUCGAUUAAAUUGAUAAUUUGGUUGCGAUAGAUUACCGCGGUACUUGCUUUAAACAAUAAGCUAAUUGUCGAAAAGAAAAAUGGGGAAGUCGAAGCGAAUUCUUCCACGUUAUCGAUGACAAAGAU